UUUCUCUAAAAGAACAAUUUCAUACACAAUAUGUACACAAAAGGAAAACCAAAAAACUCCAGUUCAUGACAAGUAUAUAGUUUGGUAGAUAGAAAGACUCUUAUGACAUGGAUCAUAAAAUAAUUUGUGGAAAUAUAUGUAUGUUUGUCCUUAAGUAGGUUAAACGUCUUUGCUCGGAGAAAAUUAGAAGUACAUAAGAAAAAUUUCAAGGGUUCUACAUUCAACGGCUGCAAAAACUUCAGGUAGUACAUGAUAUACAUGGCAUAAGUUUCUUUCAGAUUUAUCACAUACCCAUAAAUGCAAGCCAACCCAAACAGUGCCUUGCAUGCAUAUACUGCAAGAGAGCAUUAACCAUGUGAGCGCAUAUAAAUCAAGCUUGCCCGAACAAAACAGAAGGAAAUCACUCGUAGAGAAAUCAGAUAACCAUAUGAAGUUAUUAACUUCCACCUUCUCAUCAUUCAAAUGCACCCUCUAGGAGCAGCAGUGGAUAAACUGAAUCGUUGCACGCUAGUAACUAAAAUAACCCCACAAACUACAAUAAAAAACUGAAUCCAUGAUAAGAAAAAUCUAAACUGAAUACCUUGUAGACCAUGCCACAUAUGCUCAAAAUAGAUAAACGGAUCAACGUGACAGUAGGUUAAUAUAUUAGGGCAAAAAUGAAGUGGGUAUAUGGGGUAGAGCAAUCAACGUGCUGGGUCAAUAACUGCAGGGAGUCAAUCGCGGAGGAGGCGGCUGACCGGUGAACAUUUAUGAUAUUUUCUAGGCCACAAAAAGUGUCUGGGACCAAUUAAGUCAUUCCCAAAAACAAAUAUGAGGCGAACCUGAUGGAUCAUCACCCCAAUUUUUGCCACCACGUUGUAUGUGAUCCCCUAAUUCGAGUGUGGUGGAUUGGUGCAGACAUUCCUCCAAGCCAACAAAAACUGCAUUCAGUUUCAGUAAGGAGAUACAUGAUUAAAGGAGUAUCAAACACCCACCUCUAUGUUUCAAGUAGAGGAAACAAUUCCUUGGAGCUAGUGGUGCGUAAAAAAUAUUUUCUAUAUAUUAUAACUUGUACAUGAUGUUUCCUGUCUCCAAACAUUUAUUGGCAUGAUCAACAUAGCAUAGCUAUCAAGGAUCAAGUAUUUGCAAUGUAAGCGGCAAAAUUCCACGAAGCUACGAAGCAUUCAGUGAAUUUGCAUUGAUUCUGAAGAGAUAGUGAAUUUGAAUUUCUGCAACCUGCCAAAUUUAACUAUUUAAGAAUGAGGUCACAAUCAAAAAAAUGUUGUGCUGGUCAACCAAAAAGAUUAAUCAUAGGAUUGUGAGUCUAUAGUGCAAAAUUGGAAAUAAUAAGCAGUACACAUCCCAAUUUCAAAUUCCUAGCAAUGCUUUUCAUGUAACAUUUUCAUAGAGUACAUAUGAGCCCAUAAAGACAUCUUACCAUAUGUCAUGAUUAUUAACUAUGAACAAGAAACUAAAACCAACCUUCUGACAAAUACGGCAUCGCCGCAUUACAAACGAUGGCCGAGCUAAAAUUAAAAACAUGAGAAAGUAAAAAAUACAUGUAUGCUAUUGGUAGUACCAUCAAUCCAGAACAAGAUCAUAAUUUUUUUUCAAAAAUAUAUAUGGCCACAAAGAAAAAGAAAAUGGUGAAUGCUCUAUAGAACACGAAACAUAUGCUCAAAAUAAAGAUCCGAGCUAACAAGAGAUGGGCUGAAUAGAUCAAGGGAAAAUCAGUUACACUCUUUGUUAGUGAUAUGGAUAUGUCUUAGUAUAUUGUUUUGUUAAUUAUUUGCAGGCCUAUAUAUUUGCAUGGAGUCCAUGUCCGGCUUCUGACGGCAUGUAAGUAGGCCAAAUGAAAUUGUCAUGUGGAAUGCAAUGUAUACAACUCACAUGCAUGCACAUUGUAUCCUUUCCCUUACCAGAUUCUAAACUGGACUAAAGCAUUAAUAAGAAUUCCUCUAGCUUACAUUACUUUGGGCAAUGGAGAGGGUUGUAGGUCGCUUCCUGUUGUAUUCCAUUAUCUUCUCAUCAGACACUUGGGCAUCCCAAUUUUGACCCCAAUUCAGUUGUUCUCGCAGAUUUUCACCUAGGGCAUUUGCAUCCCCAUGAUUAGGCGUGAUUGUCAGGUCCUUAAAUGGAGAACAUUCUUCUGAUCGUAAUGGAGAUGCAGGUGGAUGAUGAUUAUUCAUCUGUGUGAAGGACGAAAUGCUUCUCGGAAUUCUUAAAGAGGAAGACAAUGGAGCCAUGAUGUUGUUGUGCAACAGGCUAUGUUUUCUGUAAUACCAUUUGUCUUGGCUGUGUAUCUUACUUUGUGUGUGCUGGGAUACUCAAAAAGCUAUCUCUGUAAUUUAAAUCUGUGUUAUGUUGUCUGGCGUGUGUAACCUUAUUUUGUGUGUGCUGGGAUACUCAAAAAGAUAUCUGUCUAAUUUAAAUCUGUGUUAUGUUGU